rnacentral:rRNA from 1 species
CCUACGGGUGGCAGCAGUGAGGAAUAUUGGUCAAUGGGCGCGAGCCUGAACCAGCCAAGUAGCGUGAAGGAUGACUGCCCUACGGGAUGUAAACUUCUUGUAUAAAGGAAUAAAGUGAGGCACGUGUGCCUUUUUGUAUGUACUUUAUGAAUAAGGAUCGGCUAACUCCGUGCCAGCAGCGGCGGUAACACGGAGGUUCCGAGCGUUAUCCGGAUUUAUUGUGUUUAAAGGGAGCGUAGAUGGGUUGUUAAGUCAGGUGUGAAAGUUUGCGGCUCAACCGUAAAAUUGCAUUUGAUACUGGCAGCCUUGAGUACAUUUGAGGUAGGCGGAAUUCGUUGUGUAGCGG